CCGCUGCGCGGCUUGAGGUCGAGCGCCAGGCUCGGCUCCUGCCAGCGGUUCAGCGGAUCGAGAUUGAGGGUCGUCUCCUCCGGCAGCGGG
rnacentral:tRNA from 1 species